rnacentral:rRNA from 1 species
AAGGGGGCGGUGCCUAUACAUGCAAGUCGAACGCGUUGGCCCAAUUGAUUGAUGGUGCUUGCACCUGAUUGAUUUUGGUCGCCAACGAGUGGCGGACGGGUGAGUAACACGUAGGUAACCUGCCCAGAAGCGGGGGACAACAUUUGGAAACAGAUGCUAAUACCGCAUAACAGCGUUGUUCGCAUGAACAACGCUUAAAAGAUGGCUUCUCGCUAUCACUUCUGGAUGGACCUGCGGUGCAUUAGCUUGUUGGUGGGGUAAUGGCCUACCAAGGCGAUGAUGCAUAGCCGAGUUGAGAGACUGAUCGGCCACAAUGGGACUGAGACACGGCCCAUACUCCUACGGGAGGCAGCAGUAGGGAAUCUUCCACAAUGGGCGCAAGCCUGAUGGAGCAACACCGCGUGAGUGAAGAAGGGUUUCGGCUCGUAAAGCUCUGUUGUUAAAGAAGAACACGUAUGAGAGUAACUGUUCAUACGUUGACGGUAUUUAACCAGAAAGUCACGGCUAACUACGUGCCAGCAGCCGCGGUAAUACGUAGGUGGCAAGCGUUAUCCGGAUUUAUUGGGCGUAAAGAGAGUGCAGGCGGUUUUCUAAGUCUGAUGUGAAAGCCUUCGGCUUAACCGGAGAAGUGCAUCGGAAACUGGAUAACUUGAGUGCAGAAGAGGGUAGUGGAACUCCAUGUGUAGCGGUGGAAUGCGUAGAUAUAUGGAAGAACACCAGUGGCGAAGGCGGCUACCUGGUCUGCAACUGACGCUGAGACUCGAAAGCAUGGGUAGCGAACAGGAUUAGAUACCCUGGUAGUCCAUGCCGUAAACGAUGAGUGCUAGGUGUUGGAGGGUUUCCGCCCUUCAGUGCCGGAGCUAACGCAUUAAGCACUCCGCCUGGGGAGUACGACCGCAAGGUUGAAACUCAAAGGAAUUGACGGGGGCCCGCACAAGCGGUGGAGCAUGUGGUUUAAUUCGAAGCUACGCGAAGAACCUUACCAGGUCUUGACAUCUUGCGCCAACCCUAGAGAUAGGGCGUUUCCUUCGGGAACGCAAUGACAGGUGGUGCAUGGUCGUCGUCAGCUCGUGUCGUGAGAUGUUGGGUUAAGUCCCGCAACGAGCGCAACCCUUGUUACUAGUUGCCAGCAUUAAGUUGGGCACUCUAGUGAGACUGCCGGUGACAAACCGGAGGAAGGUGGGGACGACGUCAGAUCAUCAUGCCCCUUAUGACCUGGGCUACACACGUGCUACAAUGGACGGUACAACGAGUCGCGAACUCGCGAGGGCAAGCAAAUCUCUUAAAACCGUUCUCAGUUCGGACUGCAGGCUGCAACUCGCCUGCACGAAGUCGGAAUCGCUAGUAAUCGCGGAUCAGCAUGCCGCGGUGAAUACGUUCCCGGGCCUUGUACACACCGCCCGUCACACCAUGAGAGUUUGUAACACCCAAAGUCGGUGGGGUAACCUUUUAGGAGCCAGCCGCAUAAGGGGAUCAAGU